rnacentral:rRNA from 1 species
GACGUAGGGCGCGAGCGUUGUCCGGAAUUAUUGGGCGUAAAGAGCUCGUAGGUGGUCUGUUGCGUCGGCUGUGAAAACCCGAGGCUCAACCUCGGGCCUGCAGCCGAUACGGGCAGACUAGAGUUCGGCAGGGGAGACUGGAAUUCCUGGUGUAGCGGUGAAAUGCGCAGAUAUCAGGAGGAACACCGGUGGCGAAGGCGGGUCUCUGGGCCGAUACUGACACUGAGGAGCGAAAGCGUGGGGAGCGAACAGG